rnacentral:rRNA from 1 species
ACACGUAGGGGGCGAGCGUUGUUCGGAAUCAUUGGGCGUAAAGGGUGCGCAGGCGGCAUGCCAAGUCUGGUGUGAAAGAUCCCGGCUCAACCGGGGAGACGCACUGGAAACUGGCGUGCUUGAGUACAGGAGGGGGAGUUGGAAUUCCAGGUGUAGGGGUGAAAUCUGUAGAUAUCUGGAAGAACACCGGUGGCGAAGGCGAACUCCUGGCCAUGUACUGACGCUGAGGCACGAAGGCGUGGGGAGCAAACAGGUUUAGAUACCCUGGUAGUCCACGCAGUAAACGAUGUACACUAGGUGGUGGGCGGUAGCGCUCAGUACCGAAGCAAACGCAUUAAGUGUACCGCCUGGGGAGUAUGCUCGCAAGGGUGAA